rnacentral:rRNA from 1 species
UACGGGGGGGGGCAAGCGUUGUUCGGAAUUACUGGGCGUAAAGGGCGCGUAGGCGGUUGGAUAAGUCAGCUGUGAAAACCACGGGCUUAACUCGUGGCCUGCAGUUGAGACUGUCUGGCUUGAGUGUGGGAGAGGAGAGUGGAAUUCCUGGUGUAGCGGUGAAAUGCGUAGAUAUCAGGAGGAACACCGGUGGCGAAGGCGGCUCUCUGGACCACAACUGACGCUGAGGCGCGAAAAGCUAGGGGAGCAAACAGG